rnacentral:lncRNA from 1 species
UCACCAUAUCUAAAAGCUUAAACAAAAUUUUGAUACAACAGCAACUGAUGGAGAGAGACGGUGAUUCAAAAAACUUUUAGUAGGUAAGUAAAAGUUACACAUAAUGAUCAGUUUUUGCUUUUAUUUAAUUUGUUAAUGGUUUUAGAAUUUUUUUUGCUAUCAAAUUGAUACAAAUAAUUUAAGAUGACACAAUGUCAUCAUGGGUGUUAGCAAAAUUUCAUUAACAUGCUGUCAAACGCCUUCUUGAUAUCUACAAAUUUCAAAUUUUAUCUUCUUGUAGUAGUAUAAUUUUUGUUUUGUUUUUUGGGUUAAAAAUAAAGAGGGAGUGUGUUCAUUUAUUAUUAUUAUUAUUAUUAUUAUUAUUAUUAUUAUUAUUAUUAUUAUUAUUAUUAUUAUUUUGUUUCUCAAUGAAUUUAAGACUUACCUAAAAAUGUUCAGAAAUUUGCAAUUUAAACUUAAUUAUUAGAAUUUCAUUGCAGUUCUUUAGUGUUUUUACAUGUCUACUGAGAUUUAGUGUUUCUAUAUAUAAUAAUGUUCUGGUAAAUAAGUAGUAGUUCUCUUUUUCUUAAAAAUGCAAAGAAUGAAAAAUUUUGUAGUUUGAACAACCAAAGAUUUAUGCUUCAAUAAAAAACUGAGAAAAAGGCCAGGCGUUCUCUCGUUGUUGGUUUUCAAGUUCGUACCUCUCUCUCUCUCUUUCUCUCUCUCUCUCUAUAUAUAUAUAUAUAUAUAAUGCAUUUAUUUAGUUUUCUUAAUACAGACUCCCUGUGAUUCAUUUUGUUGAUUAUUGGUUAGUUCUUAUCAUUCCUUUGAAAUUAUUCUCUUUUAGAAAUUAAUGGAGCAAGCUGGCAAGACAAAUUAAUCGGUAUGGGAGGGAUUGGCAAGAAUAGAUGUAAGGUAAUUUCUCAUUUUAUUAUGUGGAUUGUUUUUUUUAAUAUUUAUUUUCAUUUAUUUAUCAGAUAUAUAUAUAUACACACACACACACAACUUCUCACAAACGGAGACUGUUCGUUUACGAAUAGUCCCGAUUCGAUAUAUUUGACAUAUUUUUGAUAUAUUUGUAAACAUAUAUAUAUUUACAUACAUGUUUACAUAUAUAAUUUGAUAUAUUUGUUAUAUUGACAUGCACAUUACUGAUAUUUUGAUAUAUUGUGAAAUUAAAUAUAUCAAAAUAUAUUGAUAUAUUUGAUUUCACAAUAUAUCAAAAUAUCACAAUAUAUUUGAUAUAUUUUUAACAUAUUGUGAAAUCAAAUAUAUUAAAAUUAUGAUAUUUUGAUAUAUUGUUUAGAAAUAUAUCAAAAUAUCAAAUAUAUCAAAUUCGGAAUCCAUUGGAGAGACUUAUCCUUCACAAUAUAUCAAUAUACUAGUUGUACCCGUCCGUGCCUCUGGCACUAUUUAGCUUUGGACGGUGAGAUUUAUUGAUGAUUUUUUGGAUUGAGCGGAAAAUUCAAGUUGUGUCUUGUUAUAUAGAUAAAAUAAUAAUUGUCUUGAAUAUAUGUACAAUUUAAAAAAGAAAGUAAAAAAAAAGUACAAAACCCAUUAACAGAUUUCCCAUCACCCUCUAUUUGCCGAGCUAGUCUACAACUCUACCAUCAGAGAUUUGGAAAAAUUGUUCUCAGAAAAAUAAAAUGUUAAUAUAUGCAAUCAAGUACUGUGCAAUCAAUUUUACUUAAUCAUUCUAAAAUAAAAAAAAAUAAAAGUUUGUUCAAAUUUUGAUAUAAUUUAUAAUUCAGUAUAAAAAAUGUUUCUCUAAAUUUACAAUAUUGAGAUAAAGAAAAUUAUCUAUAAUAUAAAACAGAGCGGCUUAAAUCUCAAAGUUUUAAUAUUCAAUGGUCUCAAAUCAAUUUAGGCUUUAACAUCCAACGAUUUAAAAUUAUUUGGGGGCUUCAACAUUCGACGGCCAAGAUUGCUCAUAUUCUUAAGCUAACAAAUUUUAUGUUUGCUUGAUAUUUUUUAUUUUACUGCUACUAAUUAUAUCGAGUAAUUGGGUCAGUUGUAAUUUACCUAUUUUUUUGAUUUUGUUUAAAUACAUGUGAUUCAAAAUGAUCAUUUGUUUGGGAACGCACUUUGUAAUUCAUUAAUAUUUCCUGUCACACUUCUGCGACACUUGUAUACGUUGCAACACGACGCAUUCAAGGCCUUGAGCCUUAAAACUUGAAUUUUCGAGCAUUCCCUAGACGCGUAUAUGCUAUUACUGCAGGAUAGAGAGGAGUACUAUAAGAUGCGGGGAAUUAGGUGGGCAAGAUUUGCUUUCAUGGAAUCAUUCUUCAUGCAUCUUGGCAAAAACUUUGUGCCCCCAGCCAGACGAAUGGGGCAGAUAGUUUGUCACCCUUAUGUCUACUCAAAUGUGGGUCCGGCGUUACACGAACGCACAUAUAUAUUCAUGCCAUUCUGUACUCAAGAUACCAAGUAUUUUAUCUUGGUCGUAUUCUCGGUGCCCGAAUGGGCAGUCACCAUCUUUGACUCUCUUUACGAUGGUACCCCGUAUUUGACGAUCCAGCAAAUAUAUAUAGGAUUUGUUGAAGUUACGAUAUGUAUAUUAAUUGUUAGUAGUGUACUUUUAUACAUUUCAUAUAAUUUAUAUCCAUAAAUAAUGACUUUGUGUACGAAGGUCAAAUUGAUACCAGUUUGUUUGUGAAUUGGCGAUCCGCAGCGCGAGUGGCCAACUCAGGAUCCAUGUGGCUCAUAUCAAAGACCAGACCUGUGCAACCUAACAAGAUAGAUUGUGAUAUUUUCAUCUGCAAAUAUGUGGAUUACUUUGUCAAGGGCAGUGUAAAUAUUCGCAAUGAAAAAUGGUCCUUAGAAGAUUUAACGGUAUUUCAAUACUAAAUUACAUGGGAACUCUUUAGAUGUCAAGCCAAACUUCUUCUAGCGGAUGAUAUUUAGACUUAUAUUUUAGUUCAUAUUAUUCGUGUACUGAUUAUGUUUUUAUGUUUACAUAAAUGUACAGAUGAUAUUUUCAUGUUUAUCGUUGUUUAUGUUUUAUUGUUAAGUGUAUUUAAAGGUUAUGUGAAUUAUUUUUUAAUUAUUA